AAUCAAAGCAGCAACGUUACAAGAAAAAAAUUAAUGAGGCGGAAAGCUGAAGAGGCAUACAUUAGAGAGAAGAAAUUAAUGAGACGAAAGUCGAAGAGGCAGAGAUUACAGGAAAAAAAUUAAUGAGACGGAAAACCGAAAAGGCAGACGUUACGAGGAAGACGAGCGGUCGGAAUGAUUGGAGAGUAGAAUUUUGAGAAGAAAUUAUGGUACCGCCACGUGACAAACAUUUAUGAGAAAUAAUGUAUAAAUAAAAAAUAAUUUAUUCGGAUUUGAGUUCGGAUAAUAAUUUGAGUAUCCAUACCUAUUAACAUCUCUACUCCCUAAAAGAGAAAAAAAUGAAUAUAAAUACGAAACAUGGUGAAUGAUUCACCGUAUUUGAAAACGGUGAAUGAUUCUCUGUAUUCAACUUGCCAAACAAUCUCUUAGCCCGCCCACGUGGCGCUGGCAAGAGUAUGGUCAUUUUUAUAAUUAUAAAUUUAUGAGGGCUAGUUUUAAAAUAAAAUAUUUUC
rnacentral:lncRNA from 1 species